rnacentral:rRNA from 1 species
AAGGAUUGACAGAUUGAUAGCUCUUUCUUGAUUUGGUGGGUGGUGGUGCAUGGCCGUUCUUAGUUGGUGGAGUGAUUUGUCUGGUUAAUUCCGAUAACGAACGAGACUCUGUCCUGUUAAAUAGAUCCAACCUAGUCGUAGGGUUGGAAUUUCUUCUUAGAGGGACUGGUGAUUAUUAGUCACACGAGAUUGAGCAAUAACAGGUCUGUGAUGCCCUUAGAUGUUCUGGGCCGCACACGCGCUACACUGAAGUGAUCAGCUAGUUUUUCCCUCUCCGAGAGGAGCGGGUAAACUGUUGAACCCACUUCGUGGUAGGGAUCGGGGCUUGCAAUUAUUCUCCGUGAACCAGGAAUUCC